rnacentral:rRNA from 1 species
UACGAAGGGGGCUAGCGUUGUUCGGAAUUACUGGGCGUAAAGCGCGCGCAGGCGGCUAUCCAAGUCAGUGGUGAAAGCCCGGAGCUCAACUCCGGAACUGCCAUUGAAACUGUUUAGCUUGAGGACGAGAGAGGUGAGUGGAAUUCCCCAGUGUAGAGGUGAAAUUCGUAGAUAUUGGGAAGAACACCGGUGGCGAAGGCGGCUCACUGGCUCGUAUCUGACGCUCAGGCGCGACAGCGUGGGGAGCGAACAGG